rnacentral:lncRNA from 1 species
CGGUAGAAAGCCGUGAAAGAGCGAAACGCGCGUAUUUUACGAGUUGUUUGCAGGGAAAUCUAACGCGAGAGACGCAGAGGCAGGCCGCUAGCGUAAAAACGAGAGAAGCCGGCCACUUUUCACAGUCGCUUUUCACGAUGGACAGCGUUUCCCUAAAAUGGCACGGCAUCGUGGCUGCGCUCGCUUUAUGAGCCGAAGGGCCGGCCAUUUAAUUUCCCAUGAGAAAUUGCACGUGUCCGCGCAACUUUGCCCUCGUUGCCGUCCCGUCGUGUCCACGUCACGCGCGACGCGAAACGUCCAUUCAUUCAUAAUGCUCUCUUCUCGAACCAUCUGACGCCAUCCGAAGUGGCCAUUUCCGAAAUGACCAUGCGCUCGCCAUACGUCACACCGACCUUAAAGCCGACCGAACCUCUCUCUCUCCCUCUUCGAUUUCGUUCACGUUCCUUCCAUCGAUCUCCUUCCUCGUGUCUCGUAUUACCCGACGUGGAUCUCUGGUAAAACGAGACCUACGUCAAGGAUAUUUCACGAUCCGAGUGUCGUAUCGACAACUAUGACGAAUCAAUCCUCCGCGAUCUCACUUACUAUUUCCCAUUUAAUUCCAUCGAUCCCACUGCAAUUUUACGAAAACUUCGAUUUUUAGGGACGAUGAAGGAUUUAGGAAGUUGGAAUCGAUGACGUUGCGAUUAUCCAGCGACGAGUUACCUCUUCCACCAUGUCGAUGAAGGAUUUAGGAAUUUAUUUGGAAUCGAUGACGUUCUAAUUACCCAACGACAAAUUACUUCUUCGCACAACAUCCAUGAUAGCUUAUUAGAGAAUUUUCCCAAUUCUAUCGAUGGACGGUGUAAUUCUACGAAAACUCCGAUUUUUAGGGACGAUGAAGGAUUUUGGAAUCGAUAACGUUAUGAUUACUUAAUGACAAGUUACUUGUUCGUACGGCAUUCAAGGUGGCUUGUUUGAGAAUUUUCCCAAUUCUAUCGAUCACGAUGGACAGCGUAAUUCUAGAAAUACUCCGAUUUUUAGAGACGAUGAAGUAUUUAGGAAGUUGGAAUCGAUGACGUUGUGAUUAUCCAACGGCGAGUUACUUCUUCCACCAUGACGAUGAAGGAUUUACAAAUCUAGAAUUUUCCCAAUUUCAUCAAUGGAUACUGUGAUUCUAAGAAAACUCCGAUUUUUAGGGACGAUGAAGAUUUACAAAUCUAGAAUUUUCCCAAUUUCAUCAACGGCCACUGUAAUUCUAAGAAAACUCCGAUUUUUAGGGACGAUGAAGGAUUUAGGAAGUUGGAAUCGAUGACGUUGUGAUUAUCCAACGACGAGUUACUUGUUCGUAAAGCAUCCAAGAUUGUUGUUCGAUAAUAAUCAAAGAAAGUUGUCUGGUGAACGAGGCGGAGAAGCGAAUACAAUUUCUUUGCCGAGGCGAGUUUCGAUCAAAUCCGCGGCGAGCGCGUUGCCCGAUACCGGUUUGGUUACAUUGGCUUCUUUGAAAGUAACCGAGCGUAUAAACCGAGGCUUUCGAAGAAGUGGUUCUCUUCUCGCUCGCUGGGAACGAAAUCGGUGAAGUAACGAUAUAUAUAUAUAUAUAGAUGGAUAAAGCGGACACGUUUGCGAGAGGCGGGUCACGGUGGACGGAAUUGCGACGUGAUUGCGCCUUAUUAGGGAUGAGUCCGGCGAUGACUGGUCGGGGGAAAACGGCGAUUGUCUGGCUGGCGGAGGAGCAUCGUCCUCUGCCUCGUCGCGUAUCCAGCCGAGAUCCGUGAAAAGAUCGCCAAUUAGGGCCA